CUGGCCUGUGCAGAUUUAUGGAGUUCAGUUCCGUGCCUUACUUUACUAGUUGGGCUGAGACUUUCAGACAGACUGCUAGAAGUUGCACAAGGUUAAGAAGAAAAUAUAUCUGGUCCAGCAAGCGCCAAGAUACACAUCAUAAACGGUCAAUUAUGCAGGAGGUGUAUAAAGAAAAUGAAUAAGAAGUUGACAACUAGACAGGUCGUGGUGAGAGGGUGUUGGACAGCACAUGUGCAUCUUCAAAGAUCUGUACUAGUGCAAGAACUCCAACCUGGACAGAGGGUCUGGCUAUUUACAAGGGACAUCAAGUUACACCUGCCAAGCAGGAAGCUCAGCCCAAGUCUUCUGACCCCAAGAGCCUCCGCUGGACUUUGAUGGUUCGCCAGCCUAUAAGGUGAACGUACUGCUGGACUCAAGGCGUAGAGGCGGUCGGCUUCAACACUUGUGAACUUGGAGGGCCACGGACCUGAGGAGAGAUCAUGGAUACCUGCUUCUGAUAUUCUGGACCCCUCACUCAUAGAGGAAGUCGGAGUCGCCGUGCAAACACAGAUGAAGUGCAUCACUUUUCGCCAGCAUGGCACAGGUAAGCCUAGCCCCGACCGAGCUGCUGGACCAGGGGUCAGGCUUGUGGCCCAGCAUGCAAGUGGUCUCGGUCACAUCGGGUCCUUACACCCCAGAGAUGAGCUUGCGGACGGACGCCGUCUGAGACCUUUGAUGUGCGGCUACGAGAGUUUCUGUUACUGUGCCUUUAAUUAGGUCCAGCAGCUGCCUCUUCCUGGUCCAAAGCUCCACUAUCUGCCUAAUCUCUUGCAGGUGGCCAUCACAAACACAACAAAACCAGUCGCCACUCUCAGGUGUGCAACGUCCAGGGAAGAGUCUCCACCGCCGCCGCAUCAUGCUUCCCUCUGUUUGGCACAAACAAGUCUGAAGAACAGAGGCUGAGCUAACACAGCCCAGUUGCGAGUGAGACAUGGUUAAGAUUCACAGUUCUAUCACUACGACCAGCAUGUUCCCAGCUUACAGCCAAGCGGGUGUGAAAUUAUGCAAAUAUAUGCUUCCCGUCUAUCAUCUUUUGGCAAAUUUGAUGGCCCAAUUUCUUAAACAUUAUCCUUUAUAGAUUCAUUAGCAGGUUUGAGUGUGGUAAAAUGUUGAGGCAAACUUUCACAGCGGCACAAGAUGUGCUUCUCUGGUUUUUCUAAAAGAAAAUUGUUCUAAAAUUGUUACGACAUAGAAACAUUAACCUAUCCACUGCUUUAACAGUAUAGCCGGAAGAUGUGAACAAUAGGCAUGUAUACUCAUGAUGUUAGUUUUAAAGACAACAGUUUCUUAAAUCAUAUCCAAUUUUGACAACAUAAAACAACAGUAAAAUAAAGCUAAAAUAAUAAACUAGUUUCAACCAAAGAUCAAUUGUAAAUGCUUUUAUAGAGCUAUUACUUUUAGACGUUUCAAAAAUUCCAUUGUAAGUGUUUUGCUGUAAAACUUUUCUUCAAAAGUCCACAUUAUUUUUCAUCGUAUUCUGCAUUACGAUGGUACGCUGACAAGUGCAGUCAAAUGAGACUCUCAUGUAAAAUGUUGUGAAUUUAGCUCAAAAUUCAUCUAACAUCCACCUGUCUUUGUCACUCCCAAGUUAGUAGACUGCUGCACUGAACUUGACUAAAGAUGAAAUAUGGGAGGCUGGUUAGGCAUACUAAUACCCUGGAUUCAUUAAAUUAAUAGGGGUCUUAUUCCCCUUACCAUGGGUUCACAGAUGCCCUUUGAGUUUGCCGGGGCUAGAGGGUGCGCAGCACUUUGAAAGCCCUUACCGGCAUAUCGAGCGCAUUUUAAUACAGUCCUUUUGAGGCUCCUGGUAGGAUGCAGAGUAACUCUUCGCCUUUAAGUUCCCGCACCUCUCCAUGUGAUCUCGUCAGAUAGCCACGGCUGUGUCAGAUCAGGCCCAGGCUGCACAUACACUAGGGGGAUGGGGAGGGCCAUGCAAGGCAAAUUAGACCAGCGGUGUUCGUUUCUAAGUAGAGGCCAUUCUUUCCCGAAGACGUGAGUCCUUGAGAAGCAAGCGCUCAGGAGUGCUUUGAUGUGGAAAGGUGCCAGUUUAAGGCUCUGAAACAGGAGGCUUUGGGAGAGAUUCAGUAGGAUUCCCUUCGGUGAUCAGCAGGGGAGGCUGCCCUCUCGUUGGUCAACGGCGUAUACUGUACAGAUUUAAUUACGCCAAGAAUGAAGUGCGUGGUCCAAAGAAAUCCUUGAUGCUGCCCGUUAUGACAGUCACAGCAUAUUCAAAACCAUCAAGACACAAUAAGAGCCCAGCAUGGUGAUCACAGCCCGAAAAAUCAAAGAGGCUUCAGAAAACAACAACAAAAGGAAAUGCUAUGAACGUUCUGGGAAAACAAUAUUGUUUUCCACUGCAGUUGCGCCUUUGCUAAUCUUUCACAUUUUUAAUGCACAGAAUCGGCACAAGGACAAAUAGCAAAGGAUUUCAAUGACAGCACAACACAUAUUCUACAGCUUGUUUCGGUCUAUGAGCUUCAAAAAAUAGGUUUAAUUAACAGACGCAAAAUAUACGGAUGCCUCGUGUCCGUGGCAAUAUCCCUUUACCGAACAAUAACGCAACAGCCUUUUCAACAAGACCAGAAACAUUUUAAAAGACUCUACAAAGACAUUACAGCGCAACUGAUUCACAGCACUUUGCCCUACGUUAAUGUAUGCAACGGCUGUAUACUCCACCACAAUUCAGUUAAGGUUAAUAAAUAAAACAACCAGUAGUUGUUAACAAGGUUCUUGCUGUCACCUUGUAUUUGUUUACAGGCCAGCUAAAUGAUUUUGAAGCAGUGCUGUUCGCAGCUGUAGAGAUUGUGGCUUGGUUAGAAACCAGGCACACACCCCACCCCGACCCCAGCAUUUUAAAAAGGGCUUUUUCCCUUUGGUCUUUGCACAGUGGUGUGGCAACUAUGGCUCACAGGUGGGAGCCUGCCUCUACCAAAUAAGCUUCCUCACUAAGGACGGGAUUUGGCGCUGUUAUUUUUCUAUUAGGGCGGAAUAAUGUUAAGCCUUUAGAGGCCAUCUUUCCGUUGCUAUGGUAGCCCAUAUUUCCUGCAGGUUUGCGACCCUGAGUGACUAGAGUGCAAAGCCAAAUAACGCAGACCCUGCGAGGAUCAUACAUGUGGCCUUAAAAUUACGGAAAGCAGCUCGAAUCUGACCGGACCUUUGUAAGACUGAGUGACAAGUUUAUUGAGAUCUCUUUUUUUUUCCCAAUUCAUUAUGUCAGUAGCGAAUUCAAAAAUCACUUGUCACAUCUCCAAGUGCACGUCUCCACGCCCAUCUGUUGGUUUAUACACCAGUUGGAAUUGAAAUUUCUCUCCCUUUGGACAAAACGUUAACAGUCUUUUUGAGAAACACACACCCGCUAAUUUACAGCUAUUUACAGAUGAGGCGCAUACUGUCCUGAUAAGAGCAAAAGCCACAUUAUAACCAAGUAAGCUUAUUCAUAGCAAGCACACAAGAACAGUUAAAUACCUUACGAGUCAUUGAAAACGGUGACUUACCUUGACUGUUAGAGAAAGACAAGAAAGGAGACGCGGACAACCGAGCUUGCACGCCUCGUAACAACAGGAAGUGACCCAAAAUGUUAAAAAAAAAAAAAAAAAAACUAUUUAUUUUUUUAAAUUAAAAAUUAACAGAAACGUAUUUUUUGUGUCAGCAGGGUAAUCAGUGUUUAAUUUAUUUUAUAUUUGAUUAGAAAAUAAAAAUAAUAGAUCAAAAUAGAUGACUGCAUGUGCAACAAAGAAGUAUGUUUUGGUUUUCAAAAACUUUUAUAUAACAUUUACUUAUAAUAAUAACUAAAGUAGUCUAGUUAAAAACUGUAAAACAUAUCUCUAAACUUUGUGGAAAAUAAUGUCGAGUAGUCUAUGACGGUGGACUGCCCUAUAGGAUGCCUGUAUAGAACUAAUUUUAUAAAAAAAAAAAUAAAUAAAUAAAUAAAUAAACAUUAUCCUGCCUUCAGAAUAAUAAUUUUGCCACCCCCAUAGCCUUCAAACACUCAGCUAAGUUUUAUGUCAUUUUAAAUAUUUGAAUAAAAAAUAUUUUAAUCAAAAGUGCAAAGGUAAUUGAAAACAUAAUAAAUAAAACUAUAUUAAACUACUUACACAACUUACAACUUACAUAAUGACUUUUAAUACAUUUUGUAUUUUAAAAAUAUUAUAAAAUACAUAAAUAGACCACAGAUAGCCUACCAAAUACAUAAUACAUUAACAUAAGAAAACAUAAUGGACAGUGUGUGUGUGU